ACGCUGGCGGCAGGCUAACACAUGCAAGUCGAACGGUAGCACAGAGAGCUUGCUCUCGGGUGACGAGUGGCGGACGGGUGAGUAAUGUCUGGGAAACUGCCUGAUGGAGGGGGAUAACUACUGGAAACGGUAGCUAAUACCGCAUAACGUCGCAAGACCAAAGAGGGGGACCUUCGGGCCUCUUGCCAUCAGAUGUGCCCAGAUGGGAUUAGCUAGUAAGUGGGGUAACGGCUCACCUAGGCGACGAUCCCUAGCUGGUCUGAGAGGAUGACCAGCCACACUGGAACUGAGACACGGUCCAGACUCCUACGGGAGGCAGCAGUGGGGAAUAUUGCACAAUGGGCGCAAGCCUGAUGCAGCCAUGCCGCGUGUAUGAAGAAGGCCUUCGGGUUGUAAAGUACUUUCAGCGAGGAGGAAGGCGAUACGGUUAAUAACCGUGUCGAUUGACGUUACUCGCAGAAGAAGCACCGGCUAACUCCGUGCCAGCAGCCGCGGUAAUACGGAGGGUGCAAGCGUUAAUCGGAAUUACUGGGCGUAAAGCGCACGCAGGCGGUCUGUCAAGUCGGAUGUGAAAUCCCCGGGCUCAACCUGGGAACUGCAUUCGAAACUGGUAGGCUUGAGUCUUGUAGAGGGGGGUAGAAUUCCAGGUGUAGCGGUGAAAUGCGUAGAGAUCUGGAGGAAUACCGGUGGCGAAGGCGGCCCCCUGGACAAAGACUGACGCUCAGGUGCGAAAGCGUGGGGAGCAAACAGGAUUAGAUACCGGGGUAGUCCACGCCGUAAACGAUGUCGACUUGGAGGUUGUGCCCUUGAGGCGUGGCUUCCGGAGCUAACGCGUUAAG
rnacentral:rRNA from 1 species